GGCAAAUAACUUGUGUUGGUAAAAUGGAGUUACCUGUCUACCUCAUGGAUCAACUCACUACGGACGAAAUCGUUUUCCAUAAGUCCUGUUUCAAGUGCAAUAACUGCAAAGGAACCCUCACGGUGUUUUGUAUUGCAAGCCUCACUUUGAACAACUCUUCAAGGAAUCUGUUUUAGCUAAAGCACUUACUGAGGGUUGGAGGGUAUGUGACAUGCAUCUUCCUCAGGAUUGGAGGAUUCAAAGAUAUGAGAGAAAUACAUGGAAGAAGCCGUGAUGAUAGGCAGAAAAGAGAACAAUUACGCCAAGAGAAGGAAAUGUCCAAGUUUGCAUAAAUGGCAGAUGCACAUAGACAACGCCAACAAUAGCAACAACAAUAACAACAUGAAGGUUUUGGGACCUCCUGCGAUGUUAGUGCACCCAAGGUUUCUUCAACAGUACUACAACA